GAUGAAGAACGUAGCGAAAUGCGAUAAGUAAUGUGAAUUGCAGAAUUCAGUGAAUCAUCGAAUCUUUGAACGCAUCUUGCGCUCCUUGGUAUUCUGAGGAGCAUGCCUGUUUGAGUGUCAUUAAAUUCUCAACCGCACUGACUUUGAAUUGGUGUGGCUUGGAUUUGGGGGGAAAAUUGUUGUGGGCUUUUUUGUAUAGUCUGCUCCCUGAAAUUGAUUAGCGGUACCUUUGUGGAACUGUCUACAGGUGUGAUAAUUAUCUACAUCCUAGACAUCUGCUGGAAUGCUGCUUUCUAAACCUUACUUGUAUUGACAAUCUUGACCUCAAAUCAGGUAGGACUACCCGCUGAACUUAAGCAUAUCAAUAAGCGGAGGA
rnacentral:misc_RNA from 1 species